rnacentral:lncRNA from 1 species
GGGGGAGGUUUUGAUAGAGAGAAUCAGGAGAGUGAGGCAGGCGGCUGAGCAAAGAAUGAAAAAAAGAAACAACGGAAAAGAGAGAGCUUUGGUGAGAACCAGAGGGAAAAGCUACGGGUAACAAGAAAGGGGAGACCAGAUGAAGGAAACCAGAAACGGGGGGGUUAAAAGGAAAAGAAACGGAGAGAGAGCAGGAGGGUGACGGCGGAAUAAAAGAAGAAAAACCGAGAGAGAAAGCGGAGAGAGAAAGAGCCGAGAGUGAGAAAGAGCUUGAGGGUUGGAAAAAUAACGGAGAGAGUGAGAGGGAGAGCCGGAGAAGAAAACUAAAAAAGAAAGAAGAAAGGAGCUUCAGCCACUAC